AUUGAAUGCUGGCGGCAUGCUUUACGCAUGCAAGUCGAACGGUAACAGGCCUUCGGGUGCUGACGAGUGGCGAACGGGUGAGUAAUGCAUCGGAACGUGCCCAGAGGUGGGGGAUAACGCAGCGAAAGCUGUGCUAAUACCGCAUGUGAUCUGAGGAUGAAAGCGGGGGACCAGGCAGCAAUGUUUGGCCUCGCGCCUUUGGAGCGGCCGAUGUCAGAUUAGGUAGUUGGUGGGGUAAAGGCCUACCAAGCCGACGAUCUGUAGCUGGUCUGAGAGGACGACCAGCCACACUGGGACUGAGACACGGCCCAGACUCCUACGGGAGGCAGCAGUGGGGAAUUUUGGACAAUGGGCGCAAGCCUGAUCCAGCAAUGCCGCGUGCGGGAAGAAGGCCUUCGGGUUGUAAACCGCUUUUGUACGGAACGAAAAGGCUCUGGCUAAUACCUGGGGCUGAUGACGGUACCGUAAGAAUAAGCACCGGCUAACUACGUG
rnacentral:rRNA from 1 species